UAGAUCUCAGUUCGGAUUGCAGGCUGCAACCCGCCCUGCAUGAAGUCGGAAUCGCUAGUAAUCGCGGGUCAGCAUACCGCGGUGAAUACGUUCCCGGGCCUUGUACACACCGCCCGUCACACCACGAAAGUUGGUAACACCCGAAGCCGGUGGCCUAACCCUUAGGGGAGGGAGCUGUCGAAGGUGGGACUGAUGAUUGGGGUGAAGUCGUAACAAGGUAAC
rnacentral:rRNA from 1 species